rnacentral:misc_RNA from 1 species
AAGUCGUAACAAGGUAACCGUAGGUGAACCUGCGGUUGGAUCAUUAGUGGUUUUUUGGCAGCGCUGUUGUAGUGUAUGGUGGUAUGUUGGGUUUUGGUGUGGUGUGUGUUGCCUGGCCUUGGUCUUGCCUUGGUCUUGGCACAGCAACGGACGACGGCACACUCGGACCAACCCAACAGACCUCGCCAGAUAGACGUCUUUGCUUGCUUUGAUGAAACCAAAUCAAAAACAACUUUUGACAACGGAUCUCUUGGCUCUC